GGGGAUUUAGCUCACUGGUAGAGUGCUUGCCUAGCAAGCACAAGGCCCUGGGUUCAGUCCCCAGCUCCG
rnacentral:tRNA from 1 species